CCUACGGGAGGCAGCAGUGGGGAAUAUUGGUCAAUGGGCGCAAGCCUGACCCAGCAACGCCGCGUGAAGGAAGAAGGCUUUCGGGUUGUAAACUUCUUUUCUGACGGACGUAGAAAGUGACGGUACCUCAGGAAUAAGCCACGGCUAACUACGAGCCAGCAGCCGCUGUAGUCCGUAGGUGGCAAGCGUUAUCCGGAUUUAUUGGUUGUAAAGGGAGUGUAGGCGGGAAAGCAAGUCAGAUGUGAAAACUCAGGGCUCAACCCUGAGCCUGGAUUUGAAAAUGUUUUUCGUGAGUGCUGGAGAGGCAAUCGGAAGUCCGGGUGUAGCGGUGAAAUGCGUAGAUAUACGGAGGAACACCAGGGGCGAAGGCGGAUUGCUGGACAGUAACUGACGCUGAGGCGAGAAAGCGUGGGGAGCAAACAGGAUUAGAUACCCGUGUAGUC
rnacentral:rRNA from 1 species